AACGAACGCUGGCGGCAUGCCUAACACAUGCAAGUCGAACGAGCCCUUCGGGUCUAGUGGCGCACGGGUGCGUAACGCGUGGGAACCUUCCCUUAUGGUCGGAAUAACUCCCAGAAAGGGGUGCUAAUACCGGAUAAUGUCUUCGGACGAAAGAUUUAUCGCCUUUGGAUGUGCCCGCGUUGGAUUAGCUAGUUGGUAGGGUAAAAGCCUACUAAGGCGACGAUCCAUAGCUGGUCUGAGAGGAUGAUCAGCCACACUGGGACUGAGACACGGCCCAGACUCCUACGGGAGGCAGCAGUGGGGAAUAUUGGACAAUGGGCGAAAGCCUGAUCCAGCAAUGCCGCGUGAGUGAUGAAGGCCUUAGGGUUGUAAAGCUCUUUUACCCGGGAUGAUAAUGACAGUACCGGGAGAAUAAGCCCCGGCUAACUCCGUG
rnacentral:rRNA from 1 species